rnacentral:misc_RNA from 1 species
AGAACAACAAUUAUAUGCAAAAUUUUCUAAAUGUUCAUUUGGGCAAACAAAAGUAGAGUAUUUGGGUCAUGUCAUUACUGCAGUAGGUGUUUCUACUGAUCCUAAGAAAGUACAAGCUAUGUUAUAGUGGCCUGUUCCAGUUUCUGUAAACAGAAACUACAGAAAUUGAGGAGUUUCUUGGGUUUGACUGGAUAUUACAGAAAGUUUGUAAGAGGGUAUGGUAUAAUCAGUAAACCAUUAACUAACUUGCUUAAAAAAGACUCUUUUC